rnacentral:rRNA from 1 species
UACGAAGGGGCUAGCGUUGUUCGGAAUCACUGGGCGUAAAGCGCACGUAGGCGGAUCUUUAAGUCAGGGGUGAAAUCCCGAGGCUCAACCUCGGAACUGCCUUUGAUACUGGGAUCUCGAGUCCGGGAGAGGUGAGUGGAACUGCGAGUGUAGAGGUGAAAUUCGUAGAUAUUCGCAAGAACACCAGUGGCGAAGGCGGACUCGCUGGCCCGAUACUGACGCUGAGGCACGAAAGCGUGGGGAGCAAACAGGG